UUGUAAAAAGUAAUGCUGUAAGAACAGUUAUUUUUUUAAGGAAAAAAACCCAAAACAACUAAAAGCAACCUAGCUGGUAAAGUGCUUCAUUAUGCUGAAACUCAUAGUAAAGAAUGUGUUCCCCACUGUUGGGGCAGAUGUCUUAAUCUUAUAUAAUAUGAAACAUUUAUUUUCAGAUUAAACUGGGGCAUAGAUCGGAAGCUAAAGAUGGAAUCAACAGGACAGCCCUCAGGGAAAUAAAGCUGUUACAGGAGCUAAGCCAUCCAAAUAUUAUUGGUCUCAUAGAUGCAUUUGGACACAAGUCCAAUAUUAGCUUGGUGUUUGAUUUUAUGGAAACAGAUCUAGAGGUAAGAUUUUUUUAAAGACUUUUUUUUUCAGUAUCUUAAGAUGGUUUGUGAAAAUGCUAUUUUAUCAGGCUUAUAUUUGCCCAUAUUUAGAAAGGUGACUUUGAUUAUGUUAGUUGAUGAAGAUUGUCUCUUAAUAGUAGUUUGAGUAAUUUCAGUUUUUGUGAGUUCUUGUUUGAUUAGUUCCUUUACUUUUAAAUACUUGUCAUCAUGAUCUUCAAGAAACACACUGUAUUUACUAUGUUAGUUUUCUAUGACUCCAGUCAGAGCAUAGAACCUCAGUCAUAGAUCAGCUUCUUGGAGUGCAAUUGCUAAACAUAAUAUCAAACAU